ACACGCCCCCCUCUGCCCUUAUGUGGCGAAGAGGGCGGGGCCUCGUGGCCUCGCGGGCCGCGGGGGGCGGAGCCUUACGCAAAUCGGCGUCACAACGUAAAUAGAACGGCGGGUGGGGGAAAUGGGAAGGGGUGGCGCGCGCUCCCCCCCUCCGCCUUCCCAGCCUCUCCUCCCGUUGAUGUCACGCGCGCAAGCCCGGGCGCGCCCUCGCGCGUGGUGGGAAAGGGAGGCGCGGCCGGCGGCGCCCCCCGCUCUGCCGCCAUAUAGGGAAUGGAAUGCGGGGGCGGGGCGCCGCCGCGGCUGAACCCGGUCACCCCUGCCGGGAACGCCGGCGGGGCGGGCCGGGGCGGGCCGGGCGGCGCCGCGCCGCGCCUCGCGGUGGGAAGUACUGUAGCGGCUGCGGCCGCGCCGGCGAGAUGGGCCUGCGUCCUCCCUGAGAGGCGGGCUGCAACAGGUGAAGCCCUUUCCGCCCUGGAGCAGGAGCCCCGAUGCGUGCUUAUAACAGGGUCUUGAGCUACACGAGUGAGGCGCGCUCCAGGAUGUGUUGGUGUUGAGUUUUGUGGGGAGUUUCAUUUUCCUUCUAUUAGCGGUGGUACGCUAAAGGCCGUCAUCCCGGUGCCAGCAGCCGGUUGGCUCUGCAGAUGUCAGGGCUUGGAAGCGCUACGGGAGAGCCCAGGCUCGGGGCAGGGCGGCACGGACCCGCAAUGUGUCAUUUGGACGCGAUGAAGGCACCGUGUUUGCCCAGGCAUGCUUUAUAAAUGUUCCGCUGGAUUUAUAAAUUUAACUCCAACAGAAUUUUGGAAGUGUUAGGGAGUCCGAAUGCUGCAGACUGGAGAGGAGCUUGUAGUACUUUCUUUUACUAUUAAUAUGGCUUUCAUCUCAGCAUUUCAGAAAGAAGAGAUAUUAAAUAUGUAGACAGUAGGAAAAUGGAAAAAAAUGAACUUCAUGAUUGCAUGUGUGUGAAAGAAGAGGAAAAUUAUUUUUCACUCCAUCACUUAUUCAUAAGUAACAACUGUUCGCAUGUCAAAGCAAUUUUUCUUCUCUGUUCUACCACUAUUUCUGUUUUAAAUAAGCAUCUAGCAAGUCAGUAAAAAUACUCUUCCAAAUUGGGUAAUGGCUGUUCUUUACCAGGUCUUAGCCACCUGCUGCAAUAAAAAUAACACUAAUGCCACUGGAAGAAUUCUUCAUGUCAAUAGUCAAGAAACUUUGCAAUAAAAACCAAGAAGAGUGAGAAGAGUGACAAAGAACAACAAAUCAUCCAUAAUAAGCAGAUUAACCUAUAUGUCAGUUAUCUCAACUUAGUCUUUCUUCUUUACAUAUCUGGGCAGAAAUUUUUAAAUUCACUAAAGAAAUCCCAGAGAAAAGCAGGUGGAAGAGCUCACAGAUCCACCUCUUUGAUCUGUCUACCCCUCCUCAGGAGUAGCUACUUCCUGUUGAGUCUGUGUAUAAUAACAGACACACAGAAUGCUGGUGAAUCUUUUUAGUUUCUGGGCUAGUGAGCAGAAGGAAGAGGCACCUUUGCUCUUGUCAUGCCACCACAGGCACCAAAUGUGCUCCACUUUUGGCUGCAGCUGCACUGGUGUAGCACUUGAAUAACUUGCAAAUUUUCAUCUGAAGUGGAACUUUUGUACUGUGAGGUUUGCCCCAAGUUCCCUCCACUUUCUGAAACCAAGUGGGAAGAUGUGUUUACUCCAGAGAAGAAAUCAGGAAGUGUUAAAGACAUAUCUAAGCUUUCUUUCAGUGGAUAUUCUCGAGGGAAGACCUUACGGAGCUGAGCAUUUCUUGUUUCCAUGUCACCGUUUUGGGAAGUUUCUAUUCCAGAGCUACGCCGAGAAGAAGGAAUGGCUGCAAAACAGCAAGCUUAACUUGGCUAACUUCCUGCAUGUAAUCAAAGGCUAUUCUGUGAGCUGCUUGGAAAAACACCUUUGGCCACUAUGCAGAAAUUCCUUCCUAAUAAUCUUUUCAGAGCAUUAGGCCGGUUGUAGUCAGUUUUGCUCAUUACAGUAAAGUAUAAAAGGCUUGAGCAUUCCACCAGUUGUUCUAAUCUAAAAGGAAGGUCACAUACACCUGCACAGUUGUCUUUGUAUGAAACACACCAAGGUCUAAAUGUUUAAAAACAAUGGCAGGCAACAUAAUGCUGGCCAACAUAAGUCAUCCCAGUGGUUAAGUCUUGUCAGGAAAGAAGAGACUGGGCAUUCCUGCAUUGACGCUGGACAAGGGUCUGGAUUCAUGCACUGCAUAAAAGAUUUCUAAACUCUCAGAGGGUAGGGGGUCAAAGACAGAGAAGGAGACUUGGGAAUGGAGGCUGGAGGGUUCUUGGAGCUAAAGCUAUGAGGAAAAAAAAGCAGGAAAAAUUGAGGAUACAGGACUAAAAUAAUCAAAACAAGAAAGAAUGAUAGACCUCCUGAAACAACUGGAUUUACAAUGCUAAACCGAAUCUUUUUAAACUUGUUUCUGUGUGCCUUUUUAUAUAACAAGAGGUUUCAUUUCUUGGAAGAAGGCUAUAGGUUUUUCAGAUAACAAAUGUAUUCUAACAUCAUGUGAAAGCUUAAAAAAACCUACUGUAUGUAAAGGUUAUCAUGCUUUGCAGUGUAGUGAAACUGGGAAUUUAAAUGCAGGAAAAGCAGACAGAAGUAUGAGUGUUGAUGAAAUUACCAUUUUAAGAUUGGCUGGUGAAGAAAGUAGUAUAGUUGGUCACUGUACUCAGUUUUACAAUUCUACUGUUUUAUAGUUUUACUGUUUCAUAAAACAGUUUCUUGCAUUAUGUUCAGAGGCUAUUUUUAAUUUAAGACCUAAAAAAAGAACUUCUGUGUUUUGCUAGCCUUUUAUAUCAAAUACUUUAGGAUAAAUAUUGCUAGCUCUUUAGAGUUUCUUUGUUGAAGUGGAAAUAAACUGGCAGCACCAAAUGAGCCCUUUCAAAGAGCAACUUUUAUUUUAAUUAAAUUCCAUGUUGAUUCUACAGCUGGAGUUAGAGACUAACUAGAAUCUAAAAGCAUUUAGAAAAAUCUACUUUAAAUACUAAGCAUACUUUGCCCAUUUUCUAGAAUAGUCAAAAGAAACAAACAUCUAAAACUGGGCUAAAUCCUCUUGACAUUAAUUUCUGUAUACUCUGCUUUUCUGUAGCUCAAUACUUAAUGUAUGAAGUCAUUCUCAGAUGGACUGAAGAGGAAGGCAUUGUUUGUGCCAUAGUCCCAGAGCUGUCUGAAUUAAUGCUGCUCUGUAUUUCCUCUAGGACUGAGCACAUUCAGUUUACAUUUAUUGAAAAUAGAUCCUGGGAAUGAAUUAUUUGUUCCUUAUAUGGAGCCUUGUGUUGAGAUACCUGUUGAGACAAUUUAGCUCGCUACUAAGUCACUAGGGAUAAAAGCACCACUGUUACAAGCAAAAUAACAAUGUGCAAGAAACUUCUUAAAAUUAAAUGUGUUACAGUCAUUUAGAUGGUUCAGAAUAUUGAGGUCUUGGAAGACUGGAGGAAUAAGAGUGGCUCCCCUUUCUUCAGACUUAGUAUUUGCAUAAAGUCAAAAAGAGAAAGUCUUGCCUCAGAGGGAGCUCUAGAUUUAGUGUCUCUCUGGGUUUGUUGUGACCUUAUUUAGAUCUGAGUUGCAAAAUUUAUGAAUACUCAAAGUAAAAGCAGUAUAUUACCCUCACGAGUCUUUGUAAAUGCUAUUUUAAAAGUAUUAUCUUUUCCUAAUAUUAAAACAAAAGAAUUUUAUUAAAAUAUUGGACAUCUUUCUUAAUUUAUUCUCUCUUUUUAGUGUAAAUACUUACUCCCUUAAUUGUGAUUAAUUGAUUUUAAAAAAUUUCCUCAAAACUUCAUCAUCUUCUAGUCAGACAUUCUCCACCAAAAAUGGGAUAGACUGGUCUAGAAGUUAUCAGGUGCAAAAUGCCAUUGCUUGGUCUACCAGCAUGUGUAGGAAUACACAUAUACAGAAAGUGAAAUGGGCUCGUGAUUUAAAAGGGAACAUUAGGGCACUGCCUUCUUGUGGAUAAGCAUACUACAUGAACAAGUCCCCCUUUUCAUCUCCUUGGGCUUUCUCCCUUUUAACUGCACUUCAGACUUCUUGCAUUGGACCAAGGAACUAUUUUGCAGUAUCAGGCCCAGUAAUUCUUGGGCAGAAACUCUGCAUGAAGGACAUAAAAUCUUCAAUAUGAUAUUGUCUCAAAGUAAAAGACAUUGCUUACCUAAAUUUUAACCUAUAGCAAAGAAACAGAAAUUACAUAAACUAAAAUUUUCAGAAGAGCUUUUCCACAUGCUAAGUGCUAGUAGAAUGAUUUUUAAAUGGCUUUAAA